rnacentral:rRNA from 1 species
AUACGUAGGGUGCAAGCGUUAAUCGGAAUUACUGGGCGUAAAGCGUGCGUAGGUGGUUGUUUAAGUCUGUCGUGAAAGCCCUGGGCUCAACCUGGGAAUGGCGAUGGAAACUGGGCGACUAGAGUGUGGCAGAGGGUAGUGGAAUUCCUGGUGUAGCAGUGAAAUGCGUAGAGAUCAGGAGGAACAUCCGUGGCGAAGGCGACUGCCUGGGCCAACACUGACACUGAGGCACGAAAGCGUGGGGAGCAAACAGGAUUAGAUACCCUGGUAGUCCACGCCCUAAACGAUGCGAACUGGAUGUUGGGUGCAAUUUGGCACGCAGUAUCGAAGCUAACGCGUUAAGUUCGCCGCCUGGGGAGUACGGUCGCAAGACUGAAACUCAAAUGAAUUGACGGGG